AGCAGCCGCGGUAAUUCCAGCUCCAAUAGCGUAUAUUAAAGUUGUUGCAGUUAAAAAGCUCGUAGUUGAAUUUCGGGGUUAGUAGGUUGGUCAUGCCUCUGGUAUGUACUGGUCUCACUGAUUCCUCCUUCCUGAUGAGCCGUAAUGCCAUUAAUUUGGUGUUGCGGGGAAUUUGGACUGUUACUUUGAAAAAUUAGAGUGUUUAAAGCAAGCUAACGCUUGAAUACAUUAGCAUGGAAUAAUGAAAUAGGACGUUCGAUCCUAUUUUGUUGGUUUCUAGGAUUGACGUAAUGAUUAAUAGGGAUAGUUGGGGGCAUUAGUAUUCAAUUGUCAGAGGUGAAAUUCUUGGAUUUAUUGAAGACUAACUACUGCGAAAGCAUUUGCCAAGGAUGUUUUCAUUAAUCAAGAACGAAAGUUAGGGGAUCGAAGACGAUCAGAUACCGUCGUAGUCUUAACCAUAAACUAUGCCGACUAGGGAUCGGAUGAUGUUAAUUUUUUAAUGUACUCAUUCGGCGCCUUA
rnacentral:ncRNA from 2 species